rnacentral:rRNA from 1 species
AUUGAACGCUGGCGGCAUGCCUAACACAUGCAAGUCGUGCGAGCGGCGGACGGGUGAGUAAUGUAUGGGGACUGCCUGAUGGCGGGGGAUAACUACUGGAAACGGUAGCUAAUCCCGCCUACCAUCCGAUCACCCAUAUGGGAUUAGCUUGUAGGUGUGGUAAAGGCUCACAUAGGCGACGAUCCCUAGCUGGUCUGAGAGGCUGAACAGCAAAACGGGGACGGAGACACGGCCCAGACUCCUACGGAGGAAGCAGGGGGGAAGAUUGCACAAGGGGUGCAAGCCUGAUGCAGCCAUGCCGCGGGGAUGAAGAAGGCUCUAGGGUUGUAAAGUACUUUCAGUCGGGAGGCGGUACCGAAAGAAGAAGCACCGGCUAACUCCGUGCCAGCAGCCGCGGUAAUAC